rnacentral:rRNA from 1 species
AAACUCAAAGGAAUUGACGGGGCCCGCACAAGCGGAGGAACAUGUGGUUUAAUUCGAUGAUACGCGAGGAACCUUACCUGGGCUUAAAUGGGAGUGACAGCUGUCGAAAGAUGGUUUUCUUCGGACACUCUUCAAGGUGCUGCAUGGUUGUCGUCAGCUCGUGCCGUGAGGUGUCGGGUUAAGUCCCAUAACGAGCGCAACCCUUACCGUUAGUUACCAUCAGGUUAAGCUGGGGACUCUAGCGGGACUGCCACCGUAAGGUGAGAGGAAGGUGGGGAUGACGUCAAAUCAGCACGGCCCUUAUGUCCAGGGCUACACACGUGUUACAAUGGCCGGUACAAAGGGCAGCUACUUCGCGAGAAGAUGCUAAUCUCGAAAGCCGGUCUCAGUUCGGAUCGAAGUCUGCAACCCGACUUCGUGAAGCUGGAUUCGCUAGUAAUCGCGCAUCAGCCAUGGCGCGGUGAAUACGUUCCCGGGGCUU